CCGUCACAAUGGCUUUGUAUUGCUGAAGGUGAGUCGAGUGAGGAACGAUGUCGAACUAUUUUCUCUGUAUUCUUUAAUAAAGUGACCGUUUAUGUCACAUACAAUAGUGGAACGUUAAUACGAUCCCGGCGUCCAGCUGUCGUAUCAUUUAGACCGUUAAAAUAUACGUUUGGUGGCAGUUUCGUUGAGCCAGUUUGGCGCCGUUUGUUGAGCUACAUCCGGUCGCCCCAACGUAUACUUUCUUUGUGUAAAUUGUUUUGUUUUGCGUGUGUAUAGGAAGCGGAAGUACAGAGACAGACCAGAAGGAAAUUGUGUGUGUUCUGCUCUUUCCUGCAGAUUCAAUGUGGUCCGUCUUCCCCGCACAAUGGCUUUGUAUUGCUGAAGGAAGCGGAAGUACAGAGACAGACCAGAAGGAAAUUGUGUGUGUUCUGCUCUUUCCUGCAGAAUAAAUAAGUAUUGGGAAAAUACA